rnacentral:rRNA from 1 species
AAGCGAGCCCUGAGAUGAGUCAUCCCUGACCCCUUGAGGGUCCUAAAGGGCCGUUGGAGACCACAACGUUGAUAGGUGGGGUGUGUAAGCGCAGUGAUGUGUUGAGCUAACCCAUACUAAUUACCCGUGAGGCUUAACCAUACAACACCCAAGAAGUGUUCUG